AAUCUAUUUUUGUAUAGAUUCUAUAACUUAUUGUAGAAAAAUCUAUAAAAAACUUUAAAAAAUAUCCUAAAAAUCUUGAUACUAGUUAAAAAUACCACUUGUCUUUUCACCAUCAAAAAUGGGCAUGGCAUAUAUAGCAAAAGAUGAUCUUUCUUUUGCCACAUGCAUCAAAGUUUUUAUACCUAUUAAUAGGAAUUUUCAUGUAUUAGACUAAUAUAUUUCUAUUUAAUUAAUGAAAUUUUGGAUUAAACUAUAAGAAAAAUCAAGGUUAUAAAAAAUCCAAUCUAUCUAAGAAUUAUGCUUUUCUAACCAUGAUAAUCCUAAAAUAAUUAAAUUAGAGGGAGAUCUUAUCAUUUUAAAUAUUGCUAGUCUAUUAUGAUCUUUAAUUAGUACAUAUAAAAGAAUAAUCUUAUGGAUAAUAUCUCCAAAAGAUAACAAAUGACCAUCUAUGACUUCUAUUUAUAUAAAUUUAGUCUUCUUUACUAAAAAUAUUUCUUAUUUUUUGACAAAGUCUUUGUUUAUAAAAUAAGCUGAGACUCUUCAAUCUAUUAAGAUAAAGAUUUUGUGAUUUUUAGGUCCUAAAUAUACAUCUAUUAUAAAUCAAGGUGAAGAAUUUGAAAAAAAAUAAGAUCUUUAUUAGAUAUCGUAUAUGAUUUUUGCAGCAAGAUUCUUAUUGUAGCUAAAAAAAAUUAUUUUUUGAUACAUUGUCUUUUUUGGCAACCAUGCUCCUUAUUUUUUUAUUGCAUUUUUUUUAAGGAUAAUAUUGAGUAAUGUGUUUAGUUUUUCUAUAAUACAGGUACAAACCUUCUUAAUAAUGUCAAGUCUUUUCUUAUACAAUGAAAAAUUUAAAAUAUAUUAUAUCAAUUUGUAUUGAUUCUAACCUUAAAAAAUAAGUUUUUAAAAUCUUAAGAGCUAUCAUUAUUGCUUAAUUUUUUCCUCUCCAUCCAAAUAUUUAUUCUUGUUUCUUUUCAAAUAGUUGAUUAUUGCAUAAAAUAGCUUCAGCAAUAAAUUAUUUUAAAGAAUCUAUUUUUGGUAUUAUUAAUAAAAAAAUAUUUUAAAUUAUCCUUUAAUCCAUAUUAAAAUUGAUUAUUAAAGGCUUUAUCAUUUUAGUCCAUAUUACAAAUAAGAUUUUAGAAUUUAGCAAUAUAUAUGGUGGCUAAUCAUGAUCCUUAUUGUAAAGAUAAGACCUUGGUUUCUACUAAUCUUUUUUAAUUACUUUCUUUAAAUAUAGUUGUAAAUACUUUUAAAACCAAAUUCAAAUUAUAAAAGAGAAAUGAAUCAUUUUCUAUCAAAGAUAUAAGUUAAAAAAAAAAAAAAAAUACUUCCAAAUAGAAGUGUGCCUAUAAACUCAACUUAAAUAAAUCCAUCAAGAUAUUGGAAAGGAUACAAUCUUAGAUAGACCUUGAUUUAUUGCAAAUUUUAAUUUUGUUCUAUCAAACUUCUUGAGCAUAUUAAUCAAUUUUUCUUUUAUGGUUAUAAAAUCAAAAAAUUUUAGAUUUGAUUGUGAGGUUGAUCUAUUUGCUUCUUUCAACUAUACAACUUUUUGGAGUAGACUUUGGACUUCUUCUACAGACAUAGGAAUAGUGCUUUUAUGAUUUAUAUUAGUAAUGCAUAAAAUUUCUAUUCUAAAAAUAUUAAAAAGCUCAUGAAGAUAUGUAAUAGUUAUAAAUCUAUUCUCACUUCUAUUAAGUAUAGCAUCUAUAAUUUUUACUUCUAUUUCAAAAAACUUAAUAAAUCUACAAGUCAAAUUAAAAGAGGAUAAUCUAUAACUUCCAAUAUCAAAUAAAAAUUUCUACAAAGAAGGAUAAUUUACUUUCUUUAAGAAAAAAUUAGUAUUAGAAAAAUAGACUUAAUUUGCAAGGUAAGUUUCUUAUAAGUGUACUACAUCAUUAGCUUGUAGUAUAAGCUACCAAUAUAUAUAACACAAGAUUAACUUAUUGACUAAAUUUUUAACCUACUAUUUAUAUAUAUAAAGUUAAAAUUAUAUCUAUAUAGCUUCUAAGAAGCUUCUUUAUAAGAUAUUUUCAAAUUAAUCUAUUUUUAUUUAUUUCUAUUUACUUAUAUUAUCUAUAUUCUAUAGCUAUAUUAGUGACAUCUAUAUCUUUUUCAAUUUUUUCUUGAGGAAUCACUGACUCAUUAAGCUAUUCAUCUUUGUUAUCAAAAAAAAUCAUAACUUGACUAAAAAUCAUCUUUUUUUCUUCAAGUAGUAAAAUUUCAUAUUUUUUAUCACAUCUAAAUAUCCAAAAAAAAUACACUUUGCUUUUCUAUCAAGUUUUUGAUACCUUUUUUUUCAUAUGUGAUAUCAAGUAGGAUAAACAAAAUAGUGAGUAUUUUGAAGAUGAAAUAUUUUACUAUAAAAAACUUUAUAUAAUAUCUUAUUAUUAAGUCUUGCAAGUAUAAGGCAAUUCCAAAUCUUAUAAGAAAAAUAUACUUGGUUUUUAGUUUGAAGAAAUGCAAAGAUACAAUAAUUGGAGUAUUUAUUAAUCUAUACAAUUAACCAUUUGGUGCCAUCAAAACUAGUUAUAUUGAAAUAACCCUGUUGAUGAACUAUUAUAUCUAAAAUACUAUUAACAUACUUAUGCUUGUCUAAAAAAUAUUGCCUAUGGAUCUUAUUAAUAAUGCUUGAUUUAUAUGUAGGUAUUUUAUCUUUUUCACCUUUUAUUUUUAAUUUUUCAAUACUAUACAUUUGCUUUAUCUCUUAUAUUAUAUGUAUUAAAGCAUGUACUAAUGCUUGAUCCUAUUCAAUAAGUAUACAAUUCAAAAUAGAUGAACUCAUAACUACAUCAAUUUUUUCAAUUUUACAAUGCAUAAAAUAAGCUUUAUUGGCUAAUGUACCUUGUAUGAAUAAGUCAUCUAAAAAAAGAAUUCAAUCCAUUCCAUUGACAUUCGAAUUGAAUUUGCAACUUUUCUUGUAUAAGAUUAUAUUUUAUAAUAGAGUAUCACAUGCUCAAAGCACUAAAUUUAUGUCCUUCACAACUACAAAAAUAUAUUUUUUUGUGGAAUUUAAAAUUAUAAGAUAUAUUUUAUUUGAGUCUUGUGAUAUACUAAUGCCACUAUUGUAGCCUUAAAAUUAAAUAUUUAUAUUUUUAUUAAAAUUAAGAAACUUACUCCAAUCUUCUUGGAUAUAUACAUCUAUUAUAAUAUUAAUACAAACAUAAUAACAUUACAAAAAUAAAAAUAUAAUUUUUGUUUUUGAAUUAAAUGAUGCUUCUUAGAUUGAGAGAAUAAUAGCAACUUCAACAUUUAUUAUACCAUUGUUGAUUGUUCUAAGACGCUUUGCAUCACCUUGUCAAUGCUUCUUAUGUCUAUAAGUCCUACAAGUGCUUCUAAACUCAUCAAUCUUGAGCUUCUAUUUUUGCCAUGGAUGGUACUUCAUCAAGACUUAUUUCUUUUCUAUAUGCAUUGUUAAAGUAAAAAAUAAAGAAUUAAUAUUUUUCUUUCUUUGCAUCUCCUCUUCAAAAAUUAUAGAUCCUACUAUUUUUUUGAGAUCUUUUCUUUUUUUUCAAUGCAAUUGAUUAAACAAGUCAAUUCCAAAAUUUUGGUAAUACAAUAAGUAUAAGAAAUGUCAUGCUUUAUUUAUCUAUUUCACUAUUGGAUUCAAUAUCUUAAUUUUUAAGAUCAAAAAUCUCUCUAAGAAAAGUCUUUAUAGAUUUUUCAUUAAUAUAUCAAAGAUUGUGAAGUUUCUUUAUCAAAAAUAUCUUAGUAAUAAUUCGUGAGGAUUUUUGAAUCUUAGCUAAAAUAUCCCAUAUCUUCUUUGCAACUUUAUAUUUGAAUAUUUGAGUUAAUUACAAAGGCUUGAUAUUGAAGGCAAUCAAUACUUCUGCUUCCUUUUUGCUUGAUUUCUAUUUUAAUUUUUUAUCAAUAUGUAUAGAAAAUUCUAAUGUCCUAUGUACAUGCAUAUAGAGCUUACAAAUGUGUAUCAAAUGCUUAAUAAUAAAUUUCCAUGAGCCAUAUUUUUUUUUAUCUAUUUGAUCAAUGUAAUAAUCUAUUGAAGAUGAUCUAUUGAAGAUAAUGCCAUUGCCAAAAAUAAUCAAUGUUAUAGCAACAAAUAAUAAAAUUAUUAAAUAAUAAUAAAUCUUAUAGAAAUUAUAAAAAAAUAAUCAACAAAUAUUCUACAAAAUAUAAUAUUAGAAAAUAGAAGUAUUAAGCUAAGAUGAAGAAAAAAUAGCUCUUUUUUUAACACUAGUAAUAGAUUAAUUAUAGUUGAAAUCAAGAAUAGUAGCAUCAAAAUAAUGCUCCAAUAGCAAGGCUUUAAUGGUGUUAAGACUCUGGAAAUAGCAAUGGUUUAAUAAUAGUGAGGCUUUGAUAAAAAUUUAUUUAUAGGAAAAUUUCAUCAAAUAAAUUUAUUCACAAAAUUCAUCUAAUUUUUUUAUUCAAAAAAUUUUAUUUAUAGAAGGUGUUUAUCAAAGGUUCUAAUAUCAUGUUACAAAAAAUGGAUCUACAUUCAUGUUGCAAAUAAGAAUAUGCAAGAACAAAGAAAGGUGGUACUUUGUAGAUCUUUGUUAUGUAUUAAAUAAGUCUUAGCUUUUAUUACAACUAAUAUUUAAUAAAUUCUUAUAUUGAAAAUUCAUGUCAAGGAUAUGAAUCUUGAAAAAAGAAAAUCUUCAAUACCCUCUUGUGUCAUUGAAGAGAACUAAAAAGUCACUCAAAAAGUGAUGAAAUAUUAAACUAGAAUAGCCAUUGUUAAAAAUAAAAAUACUAGAAAGUCUUGAAACAAGACUAAGAACUAGAAAGGCAUUGAUAAGAGUGAAGAAGGUUUCACUCUUGCUUCCAUGUAUACUCUUAACUAAAACCUGUAUAGCAAUGUUGUAUAGGACCUCCAAAACAUGUUGACUUUGUUAGCCACAUGUCUUAACUUACAAGACAAGUUUUUUAUAUAUAUAUUACAUAGUUAGCUUGUUCUAUAAGCUACUACAUGAAGUUAACUUGUUCCACAAGCUACCAAUACGUGGUUAAUUUUCUCAUCAAGUUUCUAACCUACAAACACAUCUGAAGUCAAAUCCACAUGUAGAUAGCUUCUAAAAAGCUUCUUUAGAAGACUUUAUGAAAUUAAUUCAUAUUUAUCUACUUCUACUUAAUCAUAUAAGUAACUAUUGGAAUAAAUAUAUAUGGCCAUAACAUUAUCCUCUCCUCUAGGGACAAGUUCCACCAAGAGUGGUCAUCAUUAUUUAUGGAUCUUUAUAAUUCUUCAUCUUGGUUUUGAUGGAUGUUGUUGUCAAGGACAAAGACUUGAUGAGGAAAAAUAUACACCAAAAGGCUAUCUCGAUAUAAUAAGUCAAAAUAUAAACAAAUAGGUAUAUUAAAAGGAAACUGGAAUGGCUAUUGCCACAAGACAAGAAACUAAAGACUCUUGAACCUGGACUAGAAGCAAGAAAGGAGUUGACAAGAGUGAAGAGGGCUUCACUCUUGCCUCUAUAUAUAUUAUCUAACUAGAAGCCAUGUGGCAAUGUUCUAUAAGACCUCCAAUAUAUGUUGACUUUCUAGGCCACAUGCCUUUGCUUGCAAGGCAAGUUUUCUAUAGAUGGACCACGUAGUUAGCUUGUUCUUUAAGCUUCCAACAUGCGUGGCACAUGGCUAACUUGUUGACCAAGUUUCUAACCUAAAAGUCAACUAUAGACUCCUAUAAAGUCAAAGCAGCGUCUAUGAAGCUUCUAAGAAGCUUCUCUAGAAGAUAUUACACAAUUAACCUACUUUUACAUACUUUUAUCUAUUCAUAUAGGUAAUUAUAUGUAUGUCCGUGACAUUACCCCCCCUUCUAGGGACGAGUUCCACGAGGAGCGGUGAUUAUAUAUUGAGAAAAUCUAAUAUGCGGCGAAUUGUAUUUGCCACAUACUCUGAUCUUUGUUCUCUUCGAAGAUAGUUGAUGGAUCCUCUUAGCCAUCGAUAGUGUCCCAUUCCAGGGCGAGAAGACCACCCUGUUAUUUGAUCACUGUUGAGGCCUUCAUAACUUCCUCAAUCUUGUCUCUUUAAUAAGAGAGGUUUUCAUCUUGGUUUUGAUGGAUGUCGUUGAUGAAAAACUUUGACUUUAGCUGAUGCAUUUGCUAGAUUCCUGGAUGGCUCCCAUGUGCGCUCACUAAUAUCAUAUCCGCACCAAUGAACAAGAUAUUCCAGCUUAUUUCGGCGCCGCCUUGAGUCUAAUAUCUCUUCCACCUCAAAUUCUUCAUUAUUAUCUACUUCUAUAGGAGGCGGUGGCAUUUGUCUUCUUCCUUGUAUAUCCACUGUCUUAUAUGAUUCAAGAAGAGACACGUGGAAUAUAGGAUGGAUCUUCAUUGACUCCGGUAGAUGUAACCGAUAUGCAACUGGAUUGAUCUGUUCAGAAACAGAAAAGGGGCCAAGCCUACGAUAGUCCAAUUUGUCACAAGGUCGAGUGGUCUUGAUAUUGCGACGAAGUAGCCAUACCUUAUCACCCACGUUGAGUUGUGGUUGCUCUUUACGAUAUACAUCUGCAUUUAUCUUUUGUCGUUCUUGAGCUUUCUUCAACUGCGCCUUCAUUAUUGCAUGUAACUCUGACAACCGAUUUGCCAUAUCUUCUGCUGCAGGAUUAUCAACUUUUGAAAAAUCAAAAGUAUCAAGUCGUGGAUGAUAGCCAUAAUUGGCAAAGAAAGGUGUUUGUUGCGUGGAAGAAUGUACCGUAUUAUUAUAAGCAAACUCUGCCAAUGGCAGAAGGUUUGUCCAAUCAUCUUGUUGGUAGUUGAUGGUACACCUUAAAUACUGUUCCAAGACUUGGUUUACGCGCUCUGUUUGUCCAUCAGUUUGAGGAUGGAAAGCUGAAGAUAGCUUUAUGUCCACUUUUAAAAUCUUGAAAAGAGUCCUCCAGAAUCUCGACACAAAUUGAGUUUCCCUAUCCGAUAUGAUAUCUUUAGGUAAUCCAUGAUAGCGAUAGAUAUUAUCAAUGAAAAGCUUAGCUGUUUCUUCACCUGUGAUAGAUUUUGUACAUGGCAUAAAAUGUGCCAUCUUGGUGAAACGAUCUACUAUCACAAAUAUAGAAUCAUAAGAUCUUGAGUUUGGAAGAUCUGUGAUGAAAUCCAUAGAAACAGAAGACCAUGGUUGUUCUGGUAUAGGUAAUGGCUGAAGAAGUCCAUAAGGUCGAUGUCGAGGAAUUUUUGAUCUUGAACAAAUAUCACAUGAUUGUACAAAGUCUUUGACUGACUUCCACAUUUGUGGCCACCAAAAAUCUCUUGAUAUGAGUUCCAGAGUCUUAUUAUAUCCAAAGUGCCCUGCUGCUGGAAAGUCAUGACGUGCUUGAAGAACACGCAAACGUGCUUUUCCUUCUGGAACAUAUAGGCGUCCUUCAAAAUAUAAUAGAUUAUUCUUGAACUCAAACUUAGAAGAAUCAUGAGACUUGGAAGAAUUAUUCUCGAUAUCAUGAACAAGAGGGUCUGAGGACAUACUGGACUGGAUUUGCUUGAGAAAAGUUGAAUCAACAGUCAAUGUUGAUUUCACUGCUCGGAGAUGAAAUUGCUCCGGUUUCAAGAGGACCGUUCUUUGUUGCUCAAAAGCUGCAUCUCCUUCUUUUGGUGCAAAAUAAGAACGUCUAGACAGGGCAUCGGACAAACCUUGUUGUUUUCCUGGCCGAUAAGUGAUAAUGAAGUCGAAUCUUGACAAAGACAUACUCCAACGAGCUUGACGACGAUUCAACACGCGUGCUGACAUGAAAUACUCGAGGUUCUUGUGAUCUGUAUACACAGUGACUGGAUUAGAAGCACCUUCUAGAUAAUGACGCCAUUCUUGAAAGGAAUCCACGAUUGCAAGAAGUUCUUUAUCGUGGAUUUCAUAAUUGAUCUCGGCUGCUGAGAAUUUUCUUGAAUGAAAAGCUAUCGGAUGAAGUUUGUCAUCUGUUCCCAUUUGUGAUAAAACUGCACCCAAGGCAAAAUCCGAUGCGUCUGUUUCCAUAAAAAAUGCCUUGGAAAAAUCAACACGAUAUAAGACUGGUGCAGAGACAAACGAUGUCUUCAAGGCUUCAAAUGCUGCUUCCGCUUCUUGAUUCCAUUGAAAUUUAUCUUUACUAGUCAAGCGUGUAAGUGGAGCUGUAACUCGUGAGAAGUCUUUGAUGAAGAUCCGAUAGUAAUUGGCAAAUCCCAAGAAACAUUGGACAUCUCUCACAGUCUUUGGAAUCUUCCAAUCCAUGAUUGUUUGGACUUUCUUAGAAUCCAUCAUAAGACCAUCAUUUGAAAUGAUGUAUCCUAAAAAGUCAACUUGAGUAGUGUGAAAUACACACUUUUCCAUCUUGGCGUACAAUCCUGCAUCUCUGAGUUUUUGUAAUACUUGACGAACAUGUAUUUCAUGUUCUUCAACAUUCUUAGAAUAAAUCAGGAUAUCGUCUAGGUAGCAGACGACAAAAUUGUCUAAGAAUUCACGAAAUACAUCAUUCAUGAGAUGUUGAAAAGCAGUUGGUGCAUUCGUGAGUCCAAAAGGCAUGACAUUAUAUUCAAAAUGCCCGUACCUGGUUCGAAACGCAGUCUUCCAUUCAUCUCCUUCUUUGAUCCGUACUAGAUUAUAUGCUCCUCUUAGAUCUAUUUUUGUAUAGAUCUUAGCUUGAUUUAACUGGUCAAGGAGUCCUGAUAUCAAAGGUAAUGGAUACCUGUUCUUGAUUGUGAUCUUGUUGAGUCCUCGAUAGUCAACACACAUUCGUAAAGAUCCAUCUUUUUUCUUUACGAAUAAAAUUGGAGCUCCUGCUGGAGAUUUUGAAUGGCGUAUGAAAUUCUUCGCUAAAUUCUCGUCAAUAUAUGUCUUGAGUUCAGCCAACUCAUCUUGCGAUAAACUGUAAAUUGGUCCAAAUGGUGGCUGAGUUCCUUCCUUGAGAUCGAUUGAACAAUCGUAUGGGCGAUGCUCAGGAAGAAUAUCUGCAUUCUUUUUCUCAAAAACGUCUUGAUAAUCCUGAUAUUGACUUGGAAUGCCACUUGAAGUCUUUACGCUUUCAGAAAUAGGUGCAGCAUAAAUAGCAAAAGUUGAUCCUUCUUUUGCUGCGUGUAUAAAUGCUUUUGCACCUAUAAGUGCGGGUUUUACUAUACUAGACUCAUGGUUUUUUACUUGAUUAAUAGAACUGUUACUAAUGCUCCGAGGAAAAUCAAGUUUACGAGAAAUCCAAUCUAUUCGAGGAUUAUACUUUUCUAACCAUGAUAAGCCUAAAAUUACUGGAUUAGAGGGAGAUCUAAUUAUAUUAAAAAUUACGCAACUACUAUGACCAUUUAUUACUACAUCUACAGGAAGUGUUUCGUGAGUUACAUCUCCAGAAGACAACGGACGACCAUCUAUGACUUCUACGUGUACAGGUUUAGUUUUUUGUAUUAAUGAUAUUCUAUGACAUCUAGCAAAUUCUUCAUCUAAAAAACAAGCUGAGGCUCCUGAAUCUAUCAAGGCAGAGGCUUUGUAAUUAUUAGGUCCUAAACGCACAUCUAUUAUAAAACAAAGAGAUGGUUUUGAGGAGAGGAUAGGACCUUUAUUAGAAGUUGUACAAGAUUCCAGCCGCACGGUCCCUAUUGUAGCUGGACGUACUCGUUUUUCGACAUACUGUCUUCUUUGACAGCCGUACUCCUCAUUUUGUAGUUACGUCGCUUCUUUGGACAAUGUUGAGCAGUGUGCUUAGGUUCUCCACAAUAUAAGCACAAUCCUUCUUGUCGACGACGAGACUUUUCUUGCUCAGUAAGAGGUUUGAAACGUACCGCAUCAAUUUGCAUAUCCUCUACUUCCGAAGGUAUGUGUUGAGGAGACGUCGGUGUUGCCAUUGAAUUGUAGUAACGUUGAGGCCCACUUGUGCGACUCUCGGAUCGAAAUUCAAAAAGUCGAUUGUCGCACUUCACAGCAAAGUCAAUUGCUUGACUCAAUGUUUGAGGAUCAGGUAAAUUAAGCAUCAAUUUCUUUACCUCAUAUUGUAAUCCGUAGAGAAAUUGACUCACAAGUGCGGCAUCAUCCCACUUGAUAUCAGUUGCAAGUUGUCGAAAUUGCGAAGCAUAUAAUGUUACUGAUCGAUUGCCUUGUCGCAAAAUACGGAUCUUGUUGGUUGCAACACGAAUUGCAUCAUGUUCUCCAAACAUGGAUCAAAACUCCGCCAAAAAAGCCUCCAGAUUAUCCAAUAUUGGAUCUCGUCGUUCAAGAAAAGAUGAAAACCAUGACAAUGCUGAACCUGAAAGAAGUGUACCAAUGAAUCUUACUUGUGACCCUGGAGUUGGAUAGCUCUGGGGUUGAAGUUCAAUCACUAGUUGGACCUGAUUGAUGAAUCCUCGAAACUUGGAUCUGGUACCAUCAAACUUCUCGGGCAAGGCAACUCUCGGUUCUCUAACACUCGAAGGGUGUUCCAUUCUGGGAGAAGGGACAUGGUUUGGUGCAGAUGUUGAAGCAGCCCCAAUCAUCUCUAUAUCUUCACUUCCUACCAUUCUUGUUGCUCCUUGUGGUGGUAAAUUGAGUUGAUGCAUCGCAAGCAUUAACUCCCUCAAUUGUUCUUGCAUCUGUGCCAUUGCACUCUUCAUUUCAACAAGCUCUGCCAUAGUAGCACUUAGAAAAGAGAAGAUGUCUAACAACGCUCAAAAUAAAUAGAAGAGAGGAAUUGAUAACAAAGAAAAUACUAAGAACAAUAUCAGUUUAAAAGAGGGUAAUCCGCAACUUCUAAUGCGCUUAUGUCUUAUCAAGAAAAAGGGGUAAUCCACUCUUAAUCAAGAAAAGACAAAGCUCUGAUAUUGUAAGUGUACUCUUGUCAAUCUGUCAAGGACAAAGACUCGAUGAGGAAAAAUAUACACCAAAAGGCUAUCUCGAUAUAAUAAGUCAAAAUAUAAACAAAUAGGUAUAUUAAAAGGAAACUGGAAUGGCUAUUGCCACAAGACAAGAAACUAAAGACUCUUGAACCUGGACUAGAAGCAAGAAAGGAGUUGACAAGAGUGAAGAGGGCUUCACUCUUGCCUCUAUAUAUAUUAUCUAACUAGAAGCCACGUGGCAAUGUUCUAUAAGACCUCCAAUAUAUGUUGACUUUCUAGGCCACAUGCCUUUGCUUGCAAGGCAAGUUUUCUAUGGAUGGACCACGUAGUUAGCUUGUUCUUUAAGCUUCCAACAUGCGUGGCACAUGGCUAACUUGUUGACCAAGUUUCUAACCUAAAAGUCAACUAUAGACUCCUAUAAAGUCAAAGCAGCGUCUAUGAAGCUUCUAAGAAGCUUCUCUAGAAGAUAUUAUACAAUUAACCUACUUUUACAUACUUUUAUCUAUUCAUAUAGGUAAUUAUAUAUAUGUCCGUGAUAGUUGUUGAUAAAAGACCUCAAAUUUCUUUGUUGCAUUUGCAAGAUUCUUUGUUGGCUUCUAUAUGCAUUCACUAAUAUCAUAUCUAUGCCAAUGAAGAAGAUAUUUCAAUCUAUUUUGAUGUUGCCUUGAAUUUAAGACUUCUUCCAUCUUGAACUCUUAAUUAUUAUCCACUCCUAUAGGAGGAGGUGGCAUUUGUCUUCUUUCCAAGAUAUUCACUAUCUUAUAUAGUCUAAGAAGGGACAUGUGAAAUAUAAGGUGGAUCUUUAUAGACUCUAGUAGAUGUAAUCAAUAAGCAAUAUAAUUGAUUUAUUUAUAGAUUAAAAAAAGGUCCCAACUAACGAUAGUCCAACUUAUUACAUAGACAAAUAGUCUUGAUAUUGCGAUGAAGUAAUCAUACUUUAUUAUCUAUAUUGAAUUGUAGCUACUCCUUGUAAUGUGCAUCUGCAUUAGUCUUUUGUCAUUUUUGAGCUUCUUUUAAUUGAGUCUUCAUUGUUGAAAGUAGCUCUGACAAACAAUUUGCUAAAUCUUUCGCCACAAGAUUAUCAACUUUUGAAAAGUGAAAAGUAUCAAAUCAUAGAUGAUAACUAUAAUUGGCAAAAAAAAUAUAUUUAUUGACUAGAAAAAUGUAUCAAAUUAUUGUAUGCAAAUUUUGUCAAUAGCAAAAGAGAUAUCCAAUCAUCUUGAUGAUAAUUGAUAGUACACCUCAAAUACUACUCCAGAAGUUAAUUCAUCCAUUUUGUUUGUCUAUCAGUUUGAGGAUAAAAAGUCAAAGAGAGCUUUAUAUCCACCUUUAGAAUCUUAAAUAUGAUUCUCUAAAAUCUUGAUACAAAUUGAAUCUCCCUAUCUAAUAUAAUAUCUUUUGGCAAUCCAUGAUAGCAAUAGAUAUUGUCAAUAAAAAACUUAGUUAUUUCUUCACUUGAAAUAGAUUUUGUAUAUGGUACAAAUAUAUCAUUUUGGUGAAGCAAUCUUUGGUUAUGAAUAUAGUGAUAUGAACCUGAGAAGGAAAGAUCUGUGAUAAAAUCCAUAGAAACAAAAGACCAUAGUUGUUCUAGAACUGAUAACGGUUAAAGAAGUCCAUAAGAUCGAUGGCGAGGAGUUUUGGAUCUUGAAAAAAUAUCACGUGAUUGUAUAGUCUUUGAUUGCCUUCCACAUUUGAAGCCACUAAAAAUCUCUUGAUAUUAGCUUCAAAGUCUUAUUGUAUCCUAAAUAUCUGACUGUUGAAAAAUCAUGACAAACUUGAAGGACAUGUAAUCAUGCCUCGUCUUCUAGAACAUUUAGGUGAUCUUCAAAAUAUAGUAGGUUGUUCUUGAAUUCAAAUUUUGAAGUAUCAUAGGACUUAAAAGAAGUAUUCUUAAUAUCAUGAGCAAAAGGAUCAAAGGACAUAUUUGAUUGAAUUUGCUUGAAAAAGGUUGAAUGAAUGGUCAAUGCUGAUUUUAUUGCUCAAAGAUGAAUAUGCUUAGGCUUCAAGAAAAUCAUUCUUUGUUGAUCAAAAGAUACAUCUCCUUCUUUUGGUACAAGAUAAGAAUAUUUAGAAAUGGCUUCUAAUAGACCUUCUUAUUUUUGAGGUCGAUAAAUGAUCUUGAAAUCAAAUCUUGAUAAUGACAUGCUCCAACAGACUUGGUGAUGAUUCAAAAUAUGUGCUGACAUGAAAUACUUGAGUUUCUUGUGAUAUGUAUAUAUUAUGACUGGACUUGAAGCACCUUCUAGAUAAUGAUGUCAUUCUUGAAAUGAAUCCAUAAUUACAAGAAGUUCUUUGUUGUAGAUCUCAUAGUUAAUCUCAGUUGCUGAAAAUUUCCUGAAAUGGAAAGCUACUACAUAGAGUUUGUGAUCUAUUCCCAUUUGUGACAAUACUACAUCCAAGACAAAGUCUGAUGCAUCUGUUUUUGUAAAGAAUACCUUAGAAAAGUUGAUGCGAUACAAAGUUAAUGCAGAAAUAAGUUCUUUCUUUAAAGUGAUAAAUAGUAUUUUGGCUUCUUUAUUCCAUUUGAGUUUGUCUUCAGAAGUCAAAUGUGUAAGUGGAGCUGCAACUUGAGAAAAGUUUUUGAUGAAGAUUUGGUAGUAAUUAACAAAGUCCAAAAAGUAUUGCAUAUCUUGUAUUGUUCUUGGAAUCUUUCAAUCUAUAAUAGUUUGGACCUUCUUAAGAUCCAUCAUAAGACCUUUGUUCAAAAUGAUGUAUCCUAAAAAAUCAACUUGAAUAGUAUGGAAUACACACUUUUUCAACUUGGCAUAUAAUCUUGCAUUUUUAAGUUUUUGUAAUACGUGACUAACAUGAAGUUUAUAUUCUUUUAUGUUCUUAGAAUAAAUUAGAAUUUUGUCUAAAUAAAAAAUAAUAAAAUCAUCCACUAUUGAUAUCAUUGUAGAUUUUGGUAUAGAUCUUUACUUGAUUGAAUUGGUCAAGAAGUCUUGAAAUGAGUGACAAAGAAUACCUAUUUUUGAUGGUAAUCUUAUUCAGUCCUCAAUAAUCCAUACACAUCUAUAGAGAUCUAUCUUUCUUCUUCACAACUAAGAUAGGAGCUCUGGCUCGACGUUUAAAAUGGCAUAUAAAGUUCUUUGCCAAGUUUAUAUCAAUAUACUCCUUUAAUGUAACCAACUCAUUCUGUAAUAAACUAUAGAUUAGUCCAAAUGGUAGUUGAGUUCCUUCUUGCAAAUCAAUUAAACAAUCAUAAGAUGGAUGCUUUGGAAGAAUAUCUGUAUUCUUCUUUUCAAAAACGUCUUGGAAUUCUUAACAUUGGCUAGGAAUAUCACUUGACAUUUUGGAUAUAGUAUAUAUAGCAAAAGAUGAUCCUUCUUUUAUAACAUGCAUGAAAGCUCUUGUACCUACUAGUAAAGAUUUGGAUAUACUAGACUUAUGUACUUCUAUUUCACUAACCCAAUCCUAGAUCAUACUACCAAAAAAGUUAAAAUUAUGAGAAAUCUUAUCUAUUUGAGGAUUAUAUUUUUCUAGCCAUGAUAAACUUAAAAUAAUUGAAUUAGAUAGAAAUCUUAUUAUAUUAAAUAUUACUAUGUUAUAAUGAUCUUUAAUUACUACAUCUAUAGGAACAGUCUCAUGGAUAAUAUUUUGAGAAGACAAUGAAUAACCAUCUAUAACUUCUACAUGUAUGGAUUUAGUUUUCUUGACUAAAGGUAUUUUUUAAUUUUUGACAAAAUCUUUGUCUAUAAAAUAGGCUGAGGCUCUUGAAUAUAAUAAAGCAAAGACUUUAAGAUUUUUAGGUCCUAAAUACACAUCUAUUGUAAAACAAGAUGAGGGGUCUAAUGAGAGAAUAGGACCUUAAUUAGGUGUUGCACAUGAUUCUACUUGUACAGUCUCUAUUAUAGUUGGAAAAACUUAUUUUUUGAUACAUUAUCUUCUUUGGUAAUUGUGCUUCUCAUUUUAUAAUUACAUUGCUUCUUUUGAUAAUAUUAAGCAGUGUGCUUAGCUUCUCUAUAAUAUAAACACAAAUCCUCUUGGCAAUGUCAAGUCUUUUCCUGCUACAAGAGAGAUUUAAAACUUAUCAUAUCAAUUUGCAUUGGUUCUAGCCUUAAUGAAUAUGUUUUAAAAAACUUGAGAGUUGCCACUAUUACUUGACUUAUUCCUCUCUAGCCAAGUCUUUGUUCUUGACACCUUUAAAAUAAUUGAUUGUUGCAUACAAUGGCUUGAGCAAUAAAUUAUUCGAAAGAUUUUUCUUUCAACAUUGUUAAUAACAAAACUUUGAUGCUAUCCUUUAACUUAUAUCAAAAUUGAUUGAUUAGUGCUUUGUCAUUCCAGUCUAUGUUGCAAGCAAGGUUUUGGAAUUUAGCAGCAUAUAAGAUGGCUAUUUGCGAUCCUUAUCAUAAAGAUAAGAGUUUGGUCUCUAUUACUCAUUCUCAAUCAUUUUUUUUGAAUGUAGCCAUAAAUAAUUUUAAGAAUGAAUUUAAAUCAUAAAGAAGUCGUGAAUUAUUUUCUAUCAAAGAUGCAAAUAAAAAAAAAGUACUUUCAAAUAGAAAUGGGCUUAUGAAGCUGACUUGAAUAAAUCCAUGUGCAUAUUGGAAAGGAUAUAACCUUAAGUAGAGCUUAAUUUCUUAUAAAAACCCUCAAAAUUUUAAUCUUGUUCCAUCAAAAUUCUUGAACAUAUUAAUUCUUGCCUCUCUUGAGCUUGUAGAAGUAAGACCCCUUGAAUUUGGUUACGAGGCUGAUCAACUUGUUUCUCUUAACUGCACAACUUCUUGACGUAGACUUUGAACUUUUUUCAUAGGUAUAGAAGUAGUGCUCCCAUAGUUGACAUUGGUGAUGCAUAAAAUUUUUGUCCUAAGAGUGCUAACAAACUUGUAAAGAUCCACAAUAGUUACAAAUCUAUUCUCACUUCCACCAGGAAUAGCAUCCAUAAUCUUUCCUUCCAUAGACAAUUCAAACAAAUCCAAAAAGUUAAAUUAGAGGAGGAUAAUCUACAACCUCUAAUAAAAAUUUCCUCAAAGAAGGAUAAUCCACUCUCGUUAAGGAAAAGAUUGGUAUUAGAAAGUAAGAUUUUUUAUUUAAAGAUAGAUAGUCUGUAACCUUCAAAAUACAACAAUAGAAGUGAGGUGAUCUACUCACUUCUAAAACAAGAAAGAAAUAGUAUAUUAACACUCUUGUUAAACUGUCAAGGAUGUAAAACUUGAAGAAAGAAAAUCCUCAAUAUACUCUUGUGUCAUUGAAGAGAACUAAAAAGUCACUCAAAAGAUGAUGUAAUAUUAAACUACAAUGGCUAUUGCUAAAAACAAAAAGACUAAAAAGUCUUAAAAUAAGACUAAGGACUAAAAAAGCAUUGACAAGAGUGAAGAAGACUUUACUCUUAACUAAGAGCUACAUGGCGAUGUCCUAUAGGACCUUCAAAACGUGUUGACUUUGCUAGCCACAUGUCUUAACUUGUAAGGCAAGUUUUCUAUGUAUGCGCCACAAGCUACUAUACGGAAUUAACUUGUUCCACAAGCUAUCAAUACAAGGUUAACUUGUUCACCAUAUUUCUAACCUAUAAACACAUCUAAAGUCAAAUCUGCAUCUAUGAAGCUUUUAGGAAGCUUUUCUAAAAGACUUCAUGAAAUUAAUCUAUAUUUUCCUAUUUCUACUUAAUCGUAUAAGUAAUUAUUGGGAUAAAUGUAUAUGGUCGUGACAAUUUAGUAUGUUCCUUUAUCAAACUCCUUAUGUAUUAUCUAUCAUCACCAACUUAAAGCUCCAUAAUUGUAAUUCUAUGAAAAUGCUACUCCUACAAAACCUACAGUUCAAAAAAGAUAUAAUAUUAUUACCUACCAAUUCUCACUUAUAUCAAAAAAAUUGUUGAAAAUUUUAAUUUUUUUUACAAAUAUCAAAUGGAAUAUUGCUUUUGUUAUCAAUUUGGUAUCUCACUUCACCAAAAGACCGCAAAUUGUUCAUUUGCAAAUAAUAAAGUCAAUUGUAUAAUAUAUCAAGGACAUUCUUGAUUAUAGACUAUUUUAUUGACAAGCCAUCACAUUUGAUCUUCACUAUCAAAUGACCAAAGGGCUAUAAAAAUAUCUCAUAAUCCCAUAUUUUAUUCCAAGAUAGAGUAUUUUGAAAUAUAUUUGUAUUUUUUGAGAGACAUAAUUGAAAAAAAUCAAGUUCAAAUAAUUUGUAUUCCUAUAGAUCAACAAUCACAGGAUGUAUUGACAAAAGCAUUAGAAAAAACGAAGUUUAAAAAUAGAUUCAAAUUUCUAAAAUCUUUGAGAUUAAUCUAUUAGAUACUUCUUAAAAAACUUUAAGCCUCAAACAAUGAGCAAAAGCUCUUAAUCAUCGUUCUUCUAAAACCAAUGACUUGAUUGAUACAAAGAUAUCAAGAAUAGUAGAUAUCUAGCUCACAACCUAUUCUAAUAGCACACUACUCUAAAACCCCUUAACUUUGUACUUGGAAUAAUAUAGUACAAACUUUGUACUUGGAAUAGUAACUCCAAAUAAUUGUCUGUUGAGAAGCCUGUUGUAUAUGGGAAUGGUAUAAACUCUUAAGUAUAAAACUUGGCCAAAACAUCUGGUCAAGGAGCUGUUGCAUAGGCCUCACACAGGUGCUAUUCAAGUAAGAUCUCAUUUCAUCAAACCACACACAUGACUGACUAUCAAGGUUAUUUUGGUCACGUUAUUCUGGAAAUCAGUUGUUAAGCAACUCUUCCAGAAUAUGAGUGUGCUAGCCUCCUUCAUUUUAAUCCAAAAGUUAAUUGCAACUUUAAAGGAUUUGUCAUUCAUUGUGAAUAUUCUGCAGGGGAUGUUGGAGAGAGAUACCCUGGCUAGUCAAGAUACUCGCCGUUCCAAUACCUUCAUGCUCAAAAAUUGCUCGACUGUUCUCAGAUUAUGAAUGUGACUGGAGGCGGCUGACGUACUGUUGAAUGAAGUUGUGGAGGUAAAAUCGCAUAUUUCCCUCUCUUGACAAAUACGAUACGAAUGGCAAGAGAAGAAAAUUGCGCCACCAGUAUUCAGAUUCGUUAACCUGAAACAAUGCAUACCAAGAUUAGACACAGGAUGUGCGUGGAAUUCAUAACAACACCAUUGUGGACCCGAUAGAAGUGAAUGUAGAGCCCCGACCCCAAAGCACCCUCGAGCCGCAGGUCAAAUCUCAACGACUAAAUGCUGGGCCGAUCCCCUACAAUUUUACCAAAACAAUCAACGCCACCGUACUACCCGGAUACCCAAUGGACGAGAUUAUGACAUUUUUGGCGACGUUCCAAACGGUGCUCUGCAGCACUCUCAUCGCUACGGAAAUGCUGCAUCAGGGGUUGUGGGUCUGAUACGCACGAUCUUGUGACUUCUGAACGCGGUUUGCUGCAGACGUACAUGAUACUUCAGGGAAUAUUUUCAGUUGUGCUAUUACUACUCGUUACUAUACGUCAGCAUCGCACCAUAACAGCUCCGAUUGGUAUCACUCUCACAUCCACUUCAGCCAAUGAGUCCGGCAAUUCAUUUGGGGUGUUGGGCAUUACGCUUGAAACGACUCACUCUUCAACAGUGUGUCUGUGCUGCGACAAUACCCAACGUUGAAGGCCUACAAAUUCACUUCAAGCGAGAGUAUAAAAUGUCGAAAAUUCCAAGAGACACCGUAAGCAAAGUCGUCAACAAGGUUGAAAUUAAAUCAUAAAAAAUAUAACUAACGACAAAAUGAGGAACCAAAAUUCUGCCAAUUGGAGCAGAUUUAAAUUCCAACCUCAUCAAUAGUUUGUGAAAAACUGCUGACAGCAGAGACGCCUAUCACCAAUCUGCGAAUGGGCAUCAUUGCGACUGCGGAGCCCCAACGAAACAGAAAUGAUUACUCACUAUUCCUGGUCAGAAUGUGCUAGUGGGAUUGUUUCAAAAUCGAGGCACUAGCAAAACAAUUGCUGACAAUAUUGUGGUGCCUCGUUUCUGCUAUGAUUCUAAACCAGCAUCUAAUCACGAUGCAGAUAUUUGAUAUACCUACUCUAUAAGACUGCUAUCUUCACUGUGACAUCAACCCAUAAUUUCUUGCAACGACCAUCAAGAUUUCUAAAAGAAAUGCCAUUUAUCAGCCAGACUAGAGACUACGAAUAGAGAUGACAUGCCCCUCUACACAGUGUACGACUGUUGAAUCAUAUCGACGUCGAGAUUCUUCAGACGAACCACCGAUUCUACAUGUCCCUUCAAAGUGUUUAACUCACGCAGCCUGCAGCGUGAAAACUCAACAUCAGUGAUCAUUUCUGAGACGAAAAAUAAGUCUAUGUCCUUGAAGGCAAGAUAUAGAACCAUAUGCUGAAGAUGCAUGAGUUCAGGUCUACAAUCAAAUGGAUAACAUCGAAGAUCCAAAGAAGAUUACAAAACACAAAUAAUAAAAUAUAGAAGAUAAUUCAUAUGCACCUUGCAAUUUCAGCCCUCCUCUUAGCCUGCUCUGCCAUGAAUCCAAGUUCUUUGUUACCGCUAGUGGUGGCAGCGGCAUCAUCCUUAGAUUGGGGAGGAUGCAGUCCAUGCAAUGUCCGCUGAGCAUGAGCCCAUUGGGCUUCACGUGCCUCUUUUCCGAAGUCCUUCUGGGUUGUGAAAGCAGUCUGUACAAUCCACCAAUUAGAUCAAGGUUAGCUGUUGCAGCUCUCACACGACAAGCUUCGAAAAAAAUAUUUCUAUCGAACAGAUCUAUUUGUAGCAAGAACGUCCCGAGCACAAGUUAUACCUUGCGGUUAAUCAAAUUAUUCCAAGCCUUUCCACUUUGAAUGUAUCGAACAGUAAACUUCAAAAUAUCCAGAGGAAUGUAAGUGACGAUGCUGAAUAGCCAGACGAUUCCGGCCCAGCCCCACCCACAACCUUGAAUGUGAGCAAAUCCCCAAUUAGCAUACACUGCAAUGAACGUCGCAAUCUGUGGAAAAGACAGAUUAAUGUAAGCAUCGACUUCAUUCAUUCAUGUUCUAGAAGUCUCACGAAACCUUACAACUAGUCUGCUACACAAGUAAGGCGCAAAACGAGAUCACACAACCCAACGAUUGAAAGGAGAGUAGCGAGUUCAAUGUAACUGAAGCAUAUGUAUCGAGUUGUUGAAGCUGAAAUGAUGACGAAAAACACUUACCAGCUGAGCAGACAGAAAUGCGAACAUCAGGAGGGCUCCUGGUCUCUCAACGAAUGACCAGCUCUGGGAACGAGUGACAAAAAUAAGAGCUUGACUAAUAAUGCUGACUUGCAGAUAGAUGGCCGCAGUCAUCUCGCCGUGGCUAUUGCCAAUGUUUCUAACCCCAAAGCGGUCCUGCGCGACAUGCAAAUUCAUCAGCUGCUGGCAUUUGUAGAAACAUAAAAACUGCAUCUGGAACCAAAAAAUAACAUUUAUUGUCCACAGCCUGUGGGUGACAAACGUAACCACUGUAUACAUGAUAACUCGUUCAAAAUAAUCUCUUGAUAAUUUAAACUCAUGAACAGGGCAAAGCUAGUUACAACCUACAUCAACCACAUCUUAGACAUCUGCGAAGAAACCUUAGGGGUUAAGAUCCUACAACGCACCAAUCACCAAUCGCCGACAUUCAAGUUAUGAUGCAUGGAAAUGAGAUCCUGUACCGGGAAAAAUGUAGUCUCGUGCAUGAUCCAGAAGAACAGAACCGUCAUCAGGGCCAUGUAGGUGCCGAGUACGACACCGAUGGAGAAAAUUUCUCGCAACUUCCAGCUGUCUGGCAGAGGAGAUGGCUUAACGCGAUCCUUGGCGAUGGUCAUAAUAGUACCUGUCCCACACAAACAUGAAAUAGCUAUUACUCACUUGACUACUCCGUUUACACACCGGAUGAAAUGAUGAAAUUUUGAUGCUGAAACUAGAUAAUGCCUGAAGGGUUGCCCCGAACCAUGAUUACGAGGUCAUAAUAUACAUCAGAGGACCCAAUGCGAUCCUCAAACUGAACUGAAUUCGUAAAGAAAGAGCAAAAAUGCACACAUACCGUCAUUAAGAAUAGCAAUAACAAGGACCAUGAAUGGUGAAAAGUCAAACUGCCAGAUUAAGGCCAAAAGCAUAAACCCAAGCUGCAAACGAAAAUACGCUAUCAGGCCACAUUAUUAUCACACGAAAACAAUGUCAUUUAUAACAUCUACAACAAACACACCACCACAAGAAAAUUCUGUAACUCAGAGAAAGGGUUUAGCAGCAAUCUGAACAGUUUGAGUAGCGCAAAAAUAAUAUUUACCACUAUACGAAUGGUGAUGGAAACAGCAUAGAUCUGCAGACCCACCAUGACAGAGAAAUAUAUCGUUAAAUGUUGUGAGAAGGGUACAUGCAUGCCGCAGUGUAGGAGGAGAUAAUAUCGGACUUACAAAGUUCUACCAAUUCAUUGCGGAACAGUAUGGAAUGCAUUCAAUACAAGGGAAAUGAGCCAAAGGAAAAGCGGCAUUUAAAAAGCACAGAUAUCUGGUCUCAUCACACACACCGUGUAGUUCUUCAUACGCUGGAAAAUGGCUCGACUGGUCAACACAGCACUAAUAAUGACACUGAGCCCAGGUUCUGUUAGCACGAUAUCAGAAGCACUGCGAGCAGCAUCAGUAGCAUCUGCAACAGCAAUACCAAUGUCGGCCUUCUUCAAAGCAGGAGCAUCAUUCACACCAUCGCCGGUCAUACCAACAAUGUGCUUUUUAUCCUGCAACUUCUUGACGAUUUCAUACUUGUGCUCUGGAAACACCCCUGCAAAUCCAUCCGCCUUCUCAAUCAACUCGUCCACAGGUAAAGCGGCAAUCGCUUCAUCCUUGUGUGCUCCUAGUAGAGAGGACGAUGGAUACAUGUUGGUCCCCAUGCCCAGCCUUCGGCCUGUCUCCUUUCCAAUAGCCAGCUGAUCACCUGAAACAAAUUGCUACGUAUUAGCAAACUGUAGCAGGUUACACACAUGGUUACUGUGCACUGGAAACCCGGAUGCUAAAGAUAUAUAUACUUCAGUCUUGAAGAGCAAUGUACCUGUAAUCAUCUUCACACUAACUCCCAAGUUAAGGGCCCGACGAAUGGUCUCAGCACUAUCAUGUCGGGGUGGGUCAAAAAGAGGCAACAAACCAAGGAACUCCCAGGGGCCACCGGCGCCAUCCUUGGAGCGUUCAGGAACUUCCUGUAUUCAAAAACAAGUCUAAUAGAUUUAGAACGUUUUCUCAACCCAAAGCAAUAUUACUGAGCGAAUAAAAUCAAAUUUUAACGUAAAAACCGUAGUUUGGACUCGCAGAACGAAAGAGGAUGUGCAAGGUAUAUUAGGACGACGCCACAUCCUCACCAAAGCAUUCCGUUAGGGCAAUAUUCCAUUAUUUGGAGUCUGCUAAGAAAUAGUGAUCGCAUUAGUUGGCUUUUGUCUGUACUUGCCUGUCUAGCUACAGCCAACGAACGCAACCCCCGUUCAGCAAACUUGUCUAUAAUCGAGUGCACUCGUGCAGCAAUCUCGGUUUUGUUGUGAGCCAGUUCCAGAAUCUGCUCGGGAGCUCCCUUGCUAGAUCGAUACCACUUGCCAUCGACACUAUCAAUGUAUGUAAUAGCGGUACGCUUGUCAACAGGAUUGAAAGGAAGGAAGUGUACUUCUUGAAUACCAGCACGUGCCUGCAAAAGUAACAAAAAGUGCUCAUGCAUUAUCCAUAUAUAAUGCUCAACUUCAACAAAUCAUAGAAACCACAUCAUAAGCAUGACGGAAAAGAGGACAUAAACUAAAUCCUAGCUGAUCCUAGAUAGGGUUCUUACCUCUUUCGGAUCAGCUAACACUCCAACGAUGCAUGUAUCAAUGGCGUCUUGAUUCUCUAUCCUGGAAGCUCGAGCAGCCAUUAAGCACACCAUAUCCUUGUCAACACCUUUCAUAAAUGUCUCUACAAGGUUCUUGUCAACAGUCAAUUUGUUGAGGGUUAGGGUUCCCGUCUUGUCACUGCACAACACAUCCAUACCUGCCAUCUCUUCGAUAGCAGUCAUACGUUUCGUGAUGGCACCCUGCACGAUUCAUGUUCAGCACAAAAUAUGAAUUAGCAUCACAAGGGCUUGCCAUCACAUCAAAUUCAACUUACAACCUUCCAUUAUUAUAAGAUCUGCGGAAAUAAAAGGAACAGCCCCAGUCACCGAUAGUCUUUUUAUAAAUACCUGUUGUGAAAGACGGUGAGAACCAAUAGCCAUUGUCACUGAAAGCACGGUAGGCAUCGCAAUUGGAAUGCCUCCAAUGAGCAACACCAAAAGGUUAUCAAUACCAUCUCUGUAGCCACGCUUCUGGAUAGGCCACAUCACAAUGAUCUCAAUAACGAUUCCAAUCGCAAUGGACACGAUGCAGAAGUUUCCAAUAGAAGUCAACACCUUCUGGAAAUGGCCCACGUUGUUGGUGGAGUCUACCAAAUGCGCAGCCUUGCCAAAGAAAGUAUGGACACCAGUAGCAAUAACAACGGCCUCAAUCUCUCCUUGUUUGCAGGUGGAUCCUGAAAAUACUUCAUCUCCGGGCUUCUUGGUAGCAGGGAGUGACUCUCCCGUCAAAGCUGACUGCGACGGAAACAACCAAUACUGUUAGAAGUGCUCAAGCCUCCGCAAAGACAAAUCGGUAGCCUCACUUCAGCUCAGAUUAAUUUAAUGAUUGAGGGCAAGACACCCAGCGUAGUAGAUUGCCCUAGCAUGAAUUUGUAUCGAACGAUACCUGGUCGAUUUUCAACGGGUCACCUUCAAGGAGUCGUGCAUCUGCAGGGACGAUAUCACCUAGCUUGAUACUGAUGAUAUCACCAGGAACCAAAAUAGCUGCAUCACGUUCAGCCCAGGCGCCAUCACGCAACACCUGUACAGUGAUGAUUCGGGGAUCUACAGCUGAGAGAGUACAUCGCCGAAACGUGCAAAAGAUGUUGUGUAGUACACUUCCAUUUAAUUAAUGUGUUAAGACUAUCAAGCCGCAAUCAUACCACGAUUCCGAGCAACAUCUUCUACAUAGAAAGAUUCACUUGCUAUACACUUUAGUGAAGAGCUACAAAGUCUUGAGAGCCACCUUCGUUUGAGGAGCGAGUCGUGCCAUGAGAGAAGCAGCUGCCUGGCCAGCGUUAUUCUCUUCAAUAAAACUAAUGGUCGAAUUGAUGAUCAACAACACAAUGAUUCCCACAAAAUCUUGCCAAUCAGGUGGCCGUCCCUGCAAAAAUCCCUGUUCGUCAGAAAUCGAAAAAUAACGCACCAACAGGCAUUCUCCGCCUGCAAAGCAAGACCUGCCUUGCUGAUAUUGUAAAACAAAAAUGACUUGCGACUUUAAAUGUGAGAUCUUACCCCUCCGUUCGCAAGAGCGAUGGCCAUGAUAGCAGCAGCCUCCAUAACCCACGAUAAAGGGUUCCACAUAAACCCCAAGAAUUUGAGAAUUUUACUUUCCUGGAGAACCGAGCAUGCAAAAAUUGGUGGACGGCCAUGUGCAGAAUCCCUCAAGUGUAGAGGAAGAAGAAGAAGAAGAACUUACACCACUGGAAAGAACGAGGCUGCUUACGACACGAACUGCAAACCACUUAAAAAGAUCCCAAACAAUGUCAAGAGUUGAAAUAAUACGCACCGAUUUCUCUUCGAGCUUGUUAGGGCCACAGAUCUUAAUUCGCUGUUCCCCCUCCGCAUCGGUCAAACCCUGUCUUGUACACCUCAAUUGCUCAAAUACCUCCUCAACCGGAAUGUGUUCCUGCGUUCAACAACAGCAACUCGAUUACUGUAUACUUUGAUACCAUGCCCUGGCAGUGUUGGUUCAUUACUCUUUAGCUAUGCUGCAAUGGGUCGUUACUGCAUACCCACUUUUACUUCCACGAGUUCAUAUUAAGAUUCUUUUCCAGAACAUGUAUAAUUGCAUGAAAUUCAUAUUAAUUGAGACGUACAAGCGUAUCUCAACCCGUAUUUCGUCUCAUUACCAUGUACUGCUAAAAUAAACAAGAGUAAGUGGUUUACUGUUACUUGCUGAACAAAUGUAACACAAAACUCGAAAGUUCGCUCUCGAAAGUUGAAAUUUUUUGUCAUCUGACAUAUUUCUUCAAAAAAGAGGACCUUGUGGGUUAUUUGCAACGUUCUUCUAGAAAGCUACAAUCGAACAAGUUCAGUUGGCCUGGUAUAUCCAUCACCUAAGCACUUCAAGAAUGCACAAGCUACCGGGACAUUACAAAUGAGUGAACAUUCUGACAGACAGGGCUCUCUGUACGAGCAUUCCCAAAGAGAAUCACAGCCAUUAUCCGUGGAAGCUGAAAGCAGCUCCUCAUGUUGUAUUCCUACGCAAAUUUGGAUAACUCCCUUCACGAGUCACCAAGGUACUUAUUCAAUACUUAACGUGGCGCAAUUGAAUGAUAACUACGCAACCAUAAGGAGAUCUCCGAAACGAAGCACAAGAUGACUUGAACUCUCGGAGAACCGAUCUACACCCGCGUGUAGGUAAUACACUCCCAGGAGAGGAUCCAGUGGUAGGGUGAAAGGAAUCAGUGCUUCCUCCGACUGUCUCGAAACUGAAGCGCACUACAAUUCGGACCAGCUUCACAAGGUCGCGACCCUCGCAAACCAAAGCAGCACUUCGCAAGUAAUCAAUGCUACAUUCGUAGUGCUACAGAAUCGUAAGUUUCUUUGAAACGGCAAUCAUUCAUCACUCGUUUGCUGGCCGUCAAGCCUGCAACCCGACAACGAGCCGCGCGCGACAGAGGUAAGCGCGAACUCACCAGGUCCACAGUCUCGUUGUUGAGCGCCUGAAGCGCCUCCAUGUUGUUCCCCUUGUCGCCAUCAACAAGCGUGUUGUCAUUGUGAGUCUGAGCCAUCUUCCCUGCAGCAGCACGAGCUGCGGUAGAAGGCAAGCGAUCCAAGAAAGGCACGGCAACGCACCUCAAGACUCACUAACUCAAAGCAUGGACACAGACACAAAGAAACUGCGUCACCACAUUGACACAACACGAGCGGCAGGAAAUGGAAUGACGAUGGCUACUCCUCUCCAAGCGCUCUCAUCAAUCAGAGCUUGAAAGGAGCAGGCAAAGUCUCCGCGCAGCACGAGAUGCAUUAAUACCCCACCUACAGGGACGCAGCGUAAAGGAGCGAGAAGCCCGGGAGGAGUCUCGUCUCGUCUGGUCUCGGCCCGUCCCGUUACGAAGGCGACCCGCCGUGAUUUGCCGGAGACUCCAGGCACCUCCGGAGCGUCGCCAUGACACUGGGACCCCCUCCCGCAGAGCAGCGCAGCGAGCGCAUCGCGUGCAGGGAACACCGGCCAGGCCGGGGAGGGGGAGCGCGGGGGUGGAAGGCUCGCCAGGCCAGCGAGCGAGGCAUUAAUUUUGGGGUAAGGCACCAAAAUUGAUCUCAGUAUCAACAGUAACAGUUUUGCUAUUAUUAGCCCCACGAGGGCCCCACUCGUUUCCGUCCAGCUUCUGUAGAUUUAGUAACCUCUCCUGCACUCCCCCCUUUGUGGGGCCCCUCCCUCAGUGGCCACCCCUCCGCUGCUGCUAGAGCCCCCCCCCCCCUGCGCCCCCUUGCCUGCCCUUUCUUUAGCACCCGCCCUUGCCCGGCCCGGCCCCGGUUGUCCAAGGGCCCCUCCUCUUCUCCCUGCCUCGCACCCCUGAUGUCCCUCCCACAUCGUCCUGAACAAUCAAGCGUGGGUCCAGAGUCCAUUGCAGAGGCCCUGCCUCAAGUCCCACGCUCUCUCUUCCUCGCUGCUUCGGCCUCCUAUGUUAACCAUAGGGAAGCAAGGUGCUGCCCUCAAAGAAGUCAAUGAUUGCAACAAACAUAACUGCCGUGUGUAUCUGUCAAGCGGGCGAUGGAUCCUCAGCCUCCUUUUGUAUUCAUACACUCUCUUCCAGCACAGUAAAAUCAUGGAAAGCAAGCAGAGCAGUGGAUUCAUGAGAGUGCAGUGCUGCAGAAACCAAUCUGCUUUAAUUGAAGCCGGAUCCCCAGGUUGACAAUAGCAGCCAGCCCCCUUUCUGCAGCAUUGACCCUGCCUCCCUCCCCGCCUGUGUCUAUAUGAUUCAUGGAGUCAUGUCCAAGGGUGUGCUGCCAACCCCUCUUCAUCCUAGUCUUCACCAAUGCUUCUACUGCAGCUAUACUACCACAGCCUUGCUUUUCAUGAUUGAGGCAACAGAGAGAGAUGCAUCCCAGUUCAGGUAAAGAUCUCUCUCUAUCUCUCUCUCUCCCCCCCCCCCCCCCCUGUGCCCAGGGUCUCAGCCCUGCCCAUCCCUCACCCUCCACUUCCAGUACAUAUUCCAAUCCUUGGGAUAAUUCUGCUUGAAAUAACAUAUCCUCCUCCACAGAGUUAACUUAGUUACAGAAAUAAAUCAUCAAACCAAGUACAACAGAACAUUGUACCCUUUCAAGACAUAGGUACAAACUUUGAAGAAUCCAAGGAUUCAUUGUACUUCAUGCCACAGCACCUUCCACCCCAUGUGUUUUGAUUCAUGAUUCUAGUUGUAGUGUACGUUUUGGAAGGCAAUGAAAAGGUGAGUUGAAGAUGCAUACAAAAGCACUAUGCUCCUCUUCUUGGCAUCUUCUUUUGUUUUUGACAUGGCAGAAUGUUUUGCUUGAAUACUUGCAAAGUGAAGCAUGGAUGCUCCAAAGUAAAUAAUGACUUCAAAAUAUACCUGAACCUAAAUUUUUUCUAUUCUAAUUUGGAAUUUUCUCAUGUGUAAUUUUGGCUAAUUAAAUAAAUAAGAUAAUAUAAACUUAUUCCAUGUGUGAUUUUUAUAUUAUUCUAUUUAUAUGUGAUUUUGAAUAAAUAUUUUUUUUAUAUUAUUUCAUGUGUGAAUUUGAAUAAUUAAUAAUCAGUUAUAAGAACUGAAGUAAUAGCUCAAAUUGAAAAGAAGAAUACCAAAGAAGAACUGUUAAUAUUUUAGAAUCUAAAAAUGAAUAAAAGUUAGUGUUAUAAUAUAAGGUUAUACAUUCUAAAUGACAUAUGUCAUAAUAUAUGUACAUGUAUGUGUAUAUAUAUUUAUUUAUUUAUUUAGAUAGAUAGAUAGAAAGAUAGGUAGGUAUAUUCAGAAUAGAAUCACAUAUCUGUGGUAUAUAAAUAAAAAUUGAGACAAUCGUUUUAUAUAAAAUCAGACAAAUUCUUAAGAUAUAAAUGAAUAAGAAAAAUAAUAAUGAAAAAAACAUAUUAAAAAUUAUGAUUCAAAAUACAUAAAUAUUAUCUAAAACUGGCUUCUAUAACUAAAUAAGACAUAGAAUUACAUGGAGUUUAUUCACAAAUCUUUUAUUCAAAACAUUGUUGCAAAAUGGUAGAUUAAAUUCUGAUACUACCUUAUCAACUUUUGAAGUAUUUUAAUUUAGAAAACAUUUCCUUUUGACAUCAAGAUGUUGAUAUAUGCUAUAUUUGAGUUAUACACAAGUUUAAUGAGAUGAUGGUGAUACUUCAAACUAACAAAUCUAAAUCAUACUUGGUGCUAUAUUUUUUUUUUUUUAUACUUUAGGUACAAUUUUAAAAAUCGUCUUUUCAUAUUCCUGAAUAAUAUCAGAUUAUUUUUUUUGAAUGUUCAUCAAUUUUUAUUUAAAUAACAGUGUAUUCAGAAAUAUUCCUAAAUUACAUCUUUUUAGAUCCUACUUAAAAAAACAUUUGGGUGUUCCAACCCAAAGCACCCUUGGUACAAAUUAGACAUCCUGUGUACUUGUUUAAAAUAAAAAUUCACUAAUAUGUAUAAUAGAUAUGUUACAGUUUUAUAAACCUUGAGAAAUUCAACAUCUGUAAUUCUUGAAAACAAUCACCAAGUGAAGAAAGCACCAAUAGUUCAGAGUUGUUCAAUGUUAGUGACUAAUGCAGAUUGAACAAAUGGGUUGAUUGAUUGACAUCCCUAGUGCUGAAAGUAAGACUCAAAGCAGCAGAUGGAAAAGAAGAAGUGAGCAAGCUAGUCUCAGUGUGAUCAAAAUAGAUUUCUUUAGAAAGUGAGAGACCUUGCUGCACAAGUGUGGAAGACAAGGAACAAAACUGAUGCAGUGCAUGAGGAUGAUGCAGACCAAACUCUCAUCAUCUACAUGCACUGAGUUACAAGAAGAAAACAUGUGUUUCAAGUCUUUGGAGCCCAUGUUUUUCUAGGACUGGGCUCAUUCACCGGACACACCUGCUCCUCUCGAAACACGGCUGGUUGUUCUCUACACAAAUUCUGUUUUUAAUAUCUAGUUACGAGUUGUUGCAAUGGUCCAAUAUCUAUCCAUGAUGAUGGUAUUGUCUUUUUCACCCCAUUGUCCUCCUCUUCCUAUUUCUUCUCCAAUCUACAUGAUAUGGCUGAGAUUGCACCACAUUAGUCAACACAAGCUCCGGCCAUUCUCAUUGCUAAGCUUUUUAUGGCGACAGUAAACAGAAUUACUAAAACUAGGCCAAGACUGAAUUAGACUCUUAGCACAUUUGCUUCUGGUGCUUUAG
rnacentral:lncRNA from 1 species